rnacentral:sRNA from 17 species
GUCAAUAACCCCGCCCUGUAGAGGGACGGGGCUUGUAAGAGCCAAAUCUUACGUGUUUGACUAGCCCAUUGAGACACAACUUGGUACACACUGCCAGAUACUUCCCCAGUCUGGUUUAUUUGUA